rnacentral:rRNA from 1 species
UACGUAGGGGGCAAGCGUUGUCCGGAUUUAUUGGGCGUAAAGAGCGUGUAGGCGGUUAUGCAGGUCCGCUGUGAAAACUGGAGGCUUAACCUCCAGACGUCGGUGGAAACCGUAUGACUAGAGUCCGGAAGAGGAGAGUGGAAUUCCUGGUGUAGCGGUGGAAUGCGCAGAUAUCAGGAGGAACACCAAUAGCGAAGGCAGCUCGCUGGGACGGUAUUGACGCUAAGGCGCGAAAGCGUGGGGAGCAAACAGG